rnacentral:rRNA from 1 species
UACGUAGGGGGCAAGCGUUGUCCGGAUUUAUUAGGCGUAAAGAGCGUGUAGGCGGCCAGGUAGGUCAGCUGUGAAAACUCGAGGCUCAACCUCGAGACGCCGGUUGAAACCAUCUGGCUAGAGUCCGGAAGAGGAGAGUGGAAUUCCUGGUGUAGCGGUGAAAUGCGCAGAUAUCAGGAAGAACACCCGUGGCUAAGGCGGCUCUCUAGUACGGUACUGACGCUGAGACGCGAAAGCGUGGGGAGCGAACAGG